rnacentral:misc_RNA from 1 species
GAUGAAGAGCGUAGCGAAAUGCGAUAAGUAAUGUGAAUUGCAGAAUUCAGUGAAUCAUCGAAUCUUUGAACGCACAUUGCGCCCGCCAGUAUUCUGGCGGGCAUGCCUGUUCGAGCGUCAUUACAACCCUCAGGCCCCCGGGCCUGGCGUUGGGGAUCGGCGGAAGCCCCCUGCGGGCACAACGCCGUCCCCCAAAUACAGUGGCGGUCCCGCCGCAGCUUCCAUUGCGUAGUAGCUAACAUCUCGCAACUGGAGAGCGGCGCGGCCACGCCGUAAAACACCCAACUUCUGAAUGUUGACCUCGAAUCAGGUAGGAAUACCCGCUGAACUUAAGCAUAUCAAUAAGCGGAGGA